rnacentral:lncRNA from 1 species
GAUGCGCACAACAAAAAUUACCGAAAUCAACUCCUUCCGAAGAUAUUUAAUGAUUCUUGUUGCGUGAAUUCAAAUCACCCGCUCAUGAAAACUCAAUGCUCUACGUGAUUCACAUUGCGCGCUAAACGUUAUCAUGACAGUCUCUGCGAUAUAAAAAUCUGGCAACCUCGAUCUUGACGCUUUGGCUCAGCUACAGCAAAUUGCUUAUAGUUUGAUAAACACAUGGUGGGAUAUGAAUAUUGCUCGAUUGAGAAGCUUGCUGAAACCGUUAAGUGCGCGUUUUGACUCACGUAGAGCUUUUGAGUUUCUUGUGAGCGGGCAGUUCGAAUUCCUCGUAACUAAUGUGAAAUAAAAACGUUAAUAUCUUCGUUAGGAGUUGAUUUCAGUAAUUUUCGUCGCGCAAGUCGUGUUCUAUGUAAAAUUCUGGUAAAGAAACAUGUAUCAGAAUGCUUAAAUUCGUACGUUGUCUAGUGGUCUAUUGCAGAAAUGUUGGUCUGUUGAUGAUCCAAGCAAAUGAAGUGCAGUAAAAUUGUGACUUACUUCAGAGUUGCCACAGUCAGAGAAUACCGGGAAAUGUCAGGGAAUUUUGCAAGUUGGGGAAAACCGGGAAAAGUCAGGGAAAAAUUGUUAAGCCACCUUUAUUAGCUUUCUAGGAAGGAUUUGACAUUUGAAACAACAGAUUUUGCCUAAAACUAUUUCCAAUCAUGUCCUUCUAACCAUCUGGCAUAUCUUCAGUUGUCACCAAAAUGUCUCAGGGAAAUGUUCGGGAAUUUCAUUUUCUAUAUUUUGUGGCAACCCUGUUACUUUCAACGAGUCGCACUUUUAUUCGAGCAAACUCAUGGUUUAUUUUUGAAUUGCUACUUCAAUUGACAAGUAUCAGGUCUUCAGCAUUUUGUUAACAAUGCAUUUUCUGUCGCAGGCUGUCACUGGAAAGCGUGCUGCCAUCCGUGCGAAAACAGCUUGAAGUGUCUGAUCUCCGCCAGACGCGUCUUCAUCCAUUGUCAAUCGUUGUCUCGUAAAGCGAGCAAACGAUCAAGUGAUGUUCCCCGAGAAAGAACCCUUGUGGUUCAAAUCAGGAUCAAAGAACGGAGCGAUCACCAAUCGUACUUCUGUGGGUUCGCCUUUUUAUCAUUUUUUUUUUUAAUUUACUCGUUUUUUUUCUUUUUUACCCCUAUUUAUAUUAUUAUUCUCGUGUAAAAAUAAUGCUCUACAAUUAUUUAGCCAAUUUCUACUGUCGAAGGAAUCAGGAACUUCUGUUAUCAGUUGUCUUAAGAAUAAUAAUGACUGAUAUUUUUACCACAGUUUCCUGGCCUCGUUUUUUUUGCCCUCCUCCAGUCUUCGAUUUGGGAUUAUUUUAAUUGUCCUUCAAUUUUGCGUUUGCACGGGUUUUAAUAAAUAGACAUUGGAAAAUUUCGCUUUUAUUAGCCCCCGAUUUUGCGGUUAUUUUCCCCGAAUUUCGCUGUUAUUUUUGCAGUGCUUUUUGCGUUCGACAGCUUAAAAUAAAGCUUUUAAUUUUAUUUAACAAGCCAUCGCUAAGUCUCUCUCUCUCUCUCUUUCUCUCUCCCCUCUCUCUCUAAUCCUAUUUUACAGACUUUAUUCUUGAUUAAAAAAUAUCUGUUGCUAACUUUUUAAAAGCUUUUUCUAAUUUCCACUGAAAAAAAAGCGCGGCAAAUUUCGUCUUACACGCAUUCAUAUGUAAAUUUCACGAAAAUGUACGGAUUUCGCCGAUUUCGCGGAUAAAUUUGGAUGAUUUCGCGGUGACUCCGCGGGAUUUCGCGACAAAGCAGGAAAAUGGCCGAUUUCGCGUUAUUUCGCUUGAUAUUUUCGUGAUUAGGGGGUUAUGAUCGGUGCUUCUGUCUGGUUUUCAGAUUCCUAAGCACAUUUUAAAAAUCUCGCGGCGAAUCGCGGCGGCGAAAUUUUCCAAUGUCUAUAAUGAAUCAAAGUCAGAGCGGAUUUUAAAUGGUUUUAGGCUUAAAUGGUGUCUUCUUAGGAACUGCAUAGCUGAUCGCCAGCCUCAUAUCUUUUACUCUCCCUUACAUUAUAUACACUUAUCUGGUCGUAAUUUUGUACUUUUUCAUUUUUGUCCUUCUCCUGUGCUGAGUUGUACCACAGCCUCUCAAGUUGUUCAUCAGGGUUUCUAGCAUCAGGAAAAACCGGCAAAACCGGAAAAUAUCAGGAAUUUUGGCCGAUCAGGAAAAAAUCAGGAAAAUCGGAAAAAUCGGACGUUUUAAUAGGAAUUUUUCUUAAGCAGAUCUACUCAGCGGAGAAAGUCUUACUGCCUUUUGCCUACCGUACCAGGAGUCGAGAAAAACCAGGAAAAUAUCAGGAAUUUUCAAAAUGAAAAAAUCCGAAAUUUUUUAUACAAUAUCAGGAAAAAUCAGGAAAAUAUCAGAAUUUUUAAAAAUUAAAAAAUACUAGACACCCUGUUCAUUCAGAAUCAAGUUCAAAUGUUAGGAACUCAGCGGCUCAGUACAGCAUGUAAAUCUCAGUCCUUAAAUACAGACAGUAUUUUGGAUUUUUUUGAGACGUGAUACUAAACUGUGGUCCAUAGAAGUGAAGUAGAGUCAUUUGUGUUCCUUGAAAACUAAAAAUUAAAGCCCCUCAGACUGAAUAGUGAUCCAAAGUCGACAACUCAAUAAGAGCAUGGUAUGUAUUUCAUUUUUCGAAGGGCAAAGUGCGCAACCUUGUAUCCCCAUUGGGAUGUUUCAAAAUUGCCGUUUCUAUUUUAUUUUUUUCGAAGGAUAACC